CCCCUAGAUGUUCUGGGCCGCACGCGCGCUACACUGAACAGUUCAACAAGUCUUAACCUUGGCCGAUAGGUCUGGGUAAUCUUUGAACGCUGUUCGUGAUUGGGAUAGACCUUUGCAAUUAUGGGUCUUCAACGAGGAAUUCCUAGUAAACGCAAGUCAUCAGCUUGCAUUGAUUACGUCCCUGCCCUUUGUACACACCGCCCGUCGCACCUACUGAUUGGAUGACUCGGUGAAGAAUCGGGACCGUGAGAACAAUCGAUUCAUUUCGAAUGUACUUGUGGGAACCUUUCUUAACCUCGUUUUCUAGAAGAAGGUGAANUCGUANCA
rnacentral:rRNA from 1 species